rnacentral:rRNA from 1 species
AAUGAACGCUGGCGGCGUGGUUAAGACAUGCAAGUCGAACGGUUUUUAUUGAAGGGCAACCGGAUAUGAAAGCAGUGGCGAACGGGUGUGUAACACGUGAACAAUCUACCUCGAAAUGGGGAAUAGCUCGCCGAAAGGCGAAUUAAUACCGCAUGUGGUGAUUUCUCGCAUGAGAGAUUGACUAAAGUCUGGGAUCUCGCGCAAGCGGGACCUGACGUUUCGAGAGGAGUUCGCGGCCUAUCAGCUAGUUGGC